rnacentral:lncRNA from 1 species
UGGUGGAGGAUGGGAUUUGAUAGCUCCCAAUAAUAGUUUUAAAUUGAGGACGAGAUCUGCUAUCGAAGUAUCGUUGGGAAUGUUCUAAUUGUAUAUUGUAUCAUAUUAAUCGUAUAUUAUUGUAUAUUAAUUAUAUGCUAUGUUUUAUUAAUUGUGUACUAUAUUGUAUUAAGUGUGUACUGUGGUAUAUUAAGUUUGUAUCGUUCUAUAUUAAGUGUGUAUUAUGCUAUAUUAAGUAUAUAUGUAUCAUUCUAUACUAAGUGU